GACGAACGCUGGCGGCGUGCUUAACACAUGCAAGUCGAACGGAAAGGCCCUGCUUUUGUGGGGUGCUCGAGUGGCGAACGGGUGAGUAACACGUGAGUAACCUGCCCUUGACUUUGGGAUAACUUCAGGAAACUGGGGCUAAUACCGGAUAGGAGCUCCUGCUGCAUGGUGGGGGUUGGAAAGUUUCGGCGGUUGGGGAUGGACUCGCGGCUUAUCAGCUUGUUGGUGGGGUAGUGGCUUACCAAGGCUUUGACGGGUAGCCGGCCUGAGAGGGUGACCGGCCGCAUUGGGACUGAGAUACGGCCCAGACUCCUACGGGAGGCAGCGGUGGGGAAUAUUGCACAAUGGGCGGAAGCCUGAUGCAGCAACGCCGCGUGCGGGAUGACGGCCUUCGGGUUGUAAACCGCUUUCGCCUGUGACGAAGCGUGAGUGACGGUAAUGGGUAAAGAAGCACCGGCUAACUACGU
rnacentral:rRNA from 1 species